AACCACACUUGAAAAUGGAGAGUCGGAAACGGAAAUCAGAGCUCGAGCACUACAUCGACAAAUUGACGGAUCCACCUGAGAAGCAGAGAAAGAUGGCAGAAUUUUAUAAUAGUUUGCGAAUGUUCUACAAAAGAAGGUGGAAUGCAACACUAAAGCUUCCACAUGUUCAAGGAGUUGAAGUGAAUCUCUAUCGGCUAUAUGACACUGUUAUGGCAUUGGGUGGAUGGCAGAAAGUAGCUGCAAGCGACAAAUGGUCUGAUAUCGCUGAAAUGUUCGGAUGCAAAGAUGAUAUUCUGUGUGGAGAUCAUGCGAUCAAAAUAAUCUAUAUGAGG
rnacentral:sRNA from 1 species